GACGAACGCUGGCGGCAUGCCUAAUACAUGCAAGUCGAGCGAACAGAUGAAGUGCUUGCACUUCUGACGUUAGCGGCGAACGGGUGAGUAACACGUAAGGAAUCUACCUAUAAGCGGGGGAUAACAUUCGGAAACGGGUGCUAAUACCGCAUAAUAUCUUCUUCCGCAUGGAAGAAGAUUGAAAGACGGCUCUGCUGUCACUUAUAGAUGACCUUGCGGUGCAUUAGUUAGUUGGUGGGGUAAUGGCCUACCAAGACGAUGAUACAUGGCCGACCUGAGAGGGUGAUCGGCCACAUUGGGACUGAGACACGGCCCAAACUCCUACGGGAGGCAGCAGUAGGGAAUCUUCCGCAAUGGGCGAAAGCCUGACGGAGCAAUGCCGCGUGAGUGAAGAAGGCCUUCGGGUCGUAAAACUCUGUUAUAAGAGAAGAACAAAUUGUAGAGUAACUGCUACAGUCUUGACGGUAUCUUAUCAGAAAGCCACGGCUAACUACGUGCCAGCAGCCGCCGUAA
rnacentral:rRNA from 1 species